rnacentral:rRNA from 1 species
UACGUAGGUGGCGAGCGUUGUCCGGAUUUAUUGGGCGUAAAGCGCGCGCAGGCGGUUCGCUCCGUCCGGUGUGAAAUCUCCCGGCUCACCUGGGAGGGGGCGCUGGAGACUGGCGAACUGGAGGCAGGGAGAGGUCGGUGGAAUUCCCGGUGUAGUGGUGAAAUGCGUAGAGAUCGGGAGGAACACCAGUGGCGAAAGCGGCGCACUGGACCACAACUGACGCUGAGGCGCGAAAGCUAGGGGAGCAAACAGG